rnacentral:ncRNA from 1 species
GGAAUUGGCUGCGGGUAUCCUUCGUCGAGGACUCAUUGGACUCGUUUCAAUGUUGUUUCUUGCAAGGAUUGAGAUCAUACCGCUUGAACCUGAUCAGUGCUGAGACCUGCGUAGGGAAGCCCCAGUGUCGUUAU